rnacentral:rRNA from 1 species
ACGGGGGGGGCAAGCGUUGUUCGGAAUUACUGGGCGUAAAGCGUGCGCAGGCGGUUUCGUAAGUCUGUCGUGAAAUCCCCGGGCUUAACCUGGGAACUGCAUUUGUGACUGCAAGGCUGGAGUGCGGCAGAGGGGGAUGGAAUUCCGCGUGUAGCAGUGAAAUGCGUAGAUAUGCGGAGGAACACCGAUGGCGAAGGCGGCUUCCUGGACCGACACUGACGCUGAGGCGCGAAAGCUAGGGGAGCAAACGGGA